rnacentral:rRNA from 1 species
UACGAAGGGGGCUAGCGUUGCUCGGAAUGACUGGGCGUAAAGGGCGCGUAGGCGGAUUGUACAGUCAGGCGUGAAAUUCCCGGGCUCAACCUGGGGGCUGCGCUUGAGACGUGCGAUCUUGAGUGGGGAAGAGGGUCGUGGAAUUCCCAGUGUAGAGGUGAAAUUCGUAGAUAUUGGGAAGAACACCGGUGGCGAAGGCGGUCUGCUGGGCCAAGACUGACGCUGAGGCGCGACAGCGUGGGGAGCAAACAGG